AGCCCAGCACUGAAUCCCGUCGUUGUAACGGCGGCGGGAGAUGUGGUGUUCGGGAGGUUCCGCUUUCUUGUCGUCGUCCACUCCUGUCCAAGUUCGUCUUGAACGGGGCCCAUUUCCCAUAGAGGGUGCCAGGCCCGUAGCGACGGAGGACGGCGGCGAGAGGAACUCUCCUCAGAGUCGGGUUGCUUGAGAGUGCAGCCCUAAGUGGGUGGUAAACUCCAUCUAAGGCUAAAUAUUACCGCGAGACCGAUAGCGAACAAGUACCGU
rnacentral:rRNA from 1 species